rnacentral:lncRNA from 1 species
CUGGUAUUUACAUUUGUUUGGGACUAUAAAUUAAGUAACGUUUUCAUGAACUGAGUGAAAAUAAUGCUUUGUAAUCGUCCUUGAACCAGAUUAAUCAGUCUUUGAUUAGGUGUCAGUGUUUGUAGGCCACCCCUAUGGUCCCUGUCCACGGCGUCUCAUCGGGCCCUGUGUCCUUAGCUAUGUGUCAUCGACCGUGGUGGGCUUGUGUUUACCCCCGUUAUUACUAUCGGUGUUUCCCGUGUUUAACCAGGGGAAUGAUGGUAUUGCGGGUAAAGGGUACCCUUACCUUGGGCGUGUGGAUACUGCAUUAGCCGUGUCAAUGCUGGGCCUGUCCAGGGUUCCUUCAGGUGUUCGCAUGUUUUGGCUUUGGGGUGUCUUCCCGGGCCGGUCUGGAUGUAAGUACCAG